rnacentral:lncRNA from 1 species
UAGUCCUUUUCCUUUUGAAUAAAAAUUAAACCUCUCCCAAAUGUGGGUUUGGUCAGGAGCAAGGAAGUACCGUAUUUUAGCUGAGAAACUUAUGCCCUAACUGCUCACAGCCUCCAGAGAUUUUAUGGGACUGUUCUAAAAGAAAUUGUAUUCUCUUCUUUGAACGACUUUGGGAUUACACGUUGUCGACGUUCUAACUGAGGACAGAAGGAACCAAAUCUGUAUAGAGAGAAGACACUGCAGGCCAGCCUGAGGCCCUCACAUCACCUCUGUCCCACCUGCAGGACUGACCCAAGCAGCAGAUGGAAGGGAGUGACUCACCACCUCACAGCCAAAUCAUUCAAUCAGAGCAUUUAGAGGCAGAGGCGUGGUAAGGAUACUUGGGUUAAAUCCCGACAUUAAAACAAUGAGCCUGAGGGGUCUUUAUUGUCCGUGACAGUGGAGACAAUAAUAUUUUUGUUA